ACGAACGUUGGCGGCGUGCUUAAUACCUGCAAGUCACCUGAAGCAGUGGUAGCAAUAUCGCUGUGGAGGUGGCGCACGGGUGAGUAACACGUAGGUAAUCUGCCUUCAGGUCUGGCAUAACUCCGGGAAACCGGGGCUAAUAGCAGAUGAUGCAGCGGCUCGACAUCGAGACAGUUGUUAAAGCUAUGGCGCCUGAAGAUGAGCCUGCGUCUGAUUAGCUAGUUGGCGGGGUAACGGCCCACCAAGGCAACGAUCAGUAGCUGGUCUGAGAGGAUGAUCAGCCACACUGGAACUGAGACACGGUCCAGACUCCUACGGGAGGCAGCAGUAAGGAAUAUUGCUCAAUGGGAGAAAUCCUGAAGCAGCAACGCCGCGUGAGGGACGAAGGGCUUUUGCUUGUAAACCUCUGUAGUGAGAGAAAAAAAUCCCAAUCUUUGGGACAUGAUGGUAUCUCAAAAGUAAGCCCCGGCUAACUACGUG
rnacentral:rRNA from 1 species